UACGAAGGGUGCAAACGUUGCUCGGAAUUAUUGGGCGUAAAGCGCACGUAGGCGGCUUUGUAAGUCGGAUGUGAAAUCCCUCGGCUUAACCAAGGAAGUGCAUCCGAAACUACAGAGCUUGAGUACUUAAGAGGAUCGCGGAAUUCCCGGUGUAGAGGUGAAAUUCGUAGAUAUCGGGAGGAACACCGGUGGCGAAAGCGGCGCACUGGACCACAACUGACGCUGAGGCGCGAAAGCUAGGGGAGCAAACAGG
rnacentral:rRNA from 1 species